UGGACUUGACAUGCAGGUGUCAGCCGUGGAAACACGGUCUCACUUCGGUGCACCUGUGCAGGUGCUGCAUGGCUGUCGUCAGCUCGUGUCGUGAAAUGUUGGGUUAAGUCCCGCAACGAGCGCAACCCUUGUCCUUAGUUGCCAUCAGGUUAUGCUGGGAACUCUAAGGAGACUGCCGGUGACAAACCGGAGGAAGGUGGGGACGACGUCAAGUCAUCAUGGCCCUUACGUCCAGGGCUACACACGUGCUACAAUGGCCGGUACAAAGGGCUGCGAUGCCGCGAGGUGGAGCGAAUCCCAAAAAGCCGGUCUCAGUUCGGAUUGCAGUCUGCAACUCGACUGCAUGAAGU
rnacentral:rRNA from 1 species